rnacentral:rRNA from 1 species
UCUCAAACUAACGAGCUCGCCAGAGAGAGUUCAUGUAUUUCAGUCAGCGUCCACUCCUCUCCAGUUUGUCCUCCAAGAACUAUUGCCUUUGAUCCUUCCAUGACACAUGUACUGUGUCCCCAUGCAAACCUCGGAGGUCGCCCUGGGACGUUCAGUAUUCUCCAGGUGGGUUUCUCUUCGGUCGGAUCCAGGAGGUAG